UGCAACAGCAAGUUACUGAAGUAAAUGUGAUUUAAAUACUCCAGUACUCUCCAGUAAAUAAAUGUGAGACCACUGUAUGCCUCGAGAAAGGGACCGCUUGAGUGGGAACUUGUUUAUGAUGGUACAAUGGUUUCUCAGUGGUGCAAAAAGGUGUUCUCCCAAUUCUCACGGCACAUGCAAAGGCAGAACACAACAGCAGAAUGAGGAUUAUUGCUGCAAUUGGUUUACUCCUGAUGUCUGUGCACAUUGGAAGCUCCUUGCUGAUCGGAGCAUUUAACAUCAAAUCCUUCAGCGACACAAAAGUAGUGCAACGAUAUUACAUUGUGCUCAUUCAAGAGGUGAGGGACAGCGAUCUCACUGCAAC